rnacentral:rRNA from 1 species
GCUUAACACAUGCAAGUCGAGGGGCAGCAUUUUAGUUUGCUUGCAAACUGAAGAUGGCGACCGGCGCACGGGUGAGUAACACGUAUCCAACCUGCCGAUAACUCCGGGAUAGCCUUUCGAAAGAAAGAUUAAUACCGGAUAGCAUACGAAUAUCGCAUGAUAUUUUUAUUAAAGAAUUUCGGUUAUCGAUGGGGAUGCGUUCCAUUAGUUUGUUGGCGGGGUAACGGCCUACCAAGACUACGAUGGAUAGGGGUUCUGAGAGGAAGGUCCCCCACAUUGGAACUGAGACACGGUCCAAACUCCUACGGGAGGCAGCAGUGAGGAAUAUUGGUCAAUGGGCGAGAGCCUGAACCAGCCAAGUAGCGUGAAGGAUGAAGGCUCUAUGGGUCGUAAACUUCUUUUAUAUGGGAAUAAAGUUUUCCACGUGUGGAAUUUUGUAUGUACCAUAUGAAUAAGGAUCGGCUAACUCCGUGCCAGCAGCCGCGGUAAUACGGAGGAUCCGAGCGUUAUCCGGAUUUAUUGGGUUUAAAGGGAGCGUAGGUGGAUUGUUAAGUCAGUUGUGAAAGUUUGCGGCUCAACCGUAAAAUUGCAGUUGAAACUGGCAGUCUUGAGUACAGUAGAGGUGGGCGGAAUUCGUGGUGUAGCGGUGAAAUGCUUAGAUAUCACGAAGAACUCCGAUUGCGAAGGCAGCUCACUAGACUGUCACUGACACUGAUGCUCGAAAGUGUGGGUAUCAAACAGGAUUAGAUACCCUGGUAGUCCACACAGUAAACGAUGAAUACUCGCUGUUUGCGAUAUACAGUAAGCGGCCAAGCGAAAGCAUUAAGUAUUCCACCUGGGGAGUACGCCGGCAACGGUGAAACUCAAAGGAAUUGACGGGGGCCCGCACAAGCGGAGGAACAUGUGGUUUAAUUCGAUGAUACGCGAGGAACCUUACCCGGGCUUAAAUUGCAACAGAAUAUAUUGGAAACAGUAUAGCCGUAAGGCUGUUGUGAAGGUGCUGCAUGGUUGUCGUCAGCUCGUGCCGUGAGGUGUCGGCUUAAGUGCCAUAACGAGCGCAACCCUUAUCUUUAGUUACUAACAGGUUAUGCUGAGGACUCUAGAGAGACUGCCGUCGUAAGAUGUGAGGAAGGUGGGGAUGACGUCAAAUCAGCACGGCCCUUACGUCCGGGGCUACACACGUGUUACAAUGGGGGGUACAGAAGGCGGCUACCUGGUGACAGGAUGCUAAUCCCAAAAACCUCUCUCAGUUCGGAUCGAAGUCUGCAACCCGACUUCGUGAAGCUGGAUUCGCUAGUAAUCGCGCAUCAGCCAUGGCGCGGUGAAUACGUUCCCGGGCCUUGUACACACCGCCCGUCAAGCCAUGAAAGCCGGGGGUACCUGAAGUACGUAACCGCAAGGAGCGUCCUAGGGUAAAACUGGUAAUUGGGGCUAAGUCGU